CAGGGUAUUUUCCGACUUUUGAUUCAGAGCAGACUUUUCUCCCAUUUGAUCUUUCCCAAACCUACUUCCUUUAGUAUUAAAUUCUUACCUUCAACUUCUCUUGUCCGUUGAACACAUACUUUUAAGCGAAUUAUUGCAUAACUUAAACUGUGGAUUGAAUAAGCAUUUUUCGAAACGAUCCUGGAGUGUAAAGUUCCGGUCAGUGCCCCGUACAACCUCGAACAAAGCGUGCAUUUCAUACCUAUGGCACAGUUUGCUCAUAUUUGACCUUGGGGAUAUCGACUGGUCCGCAUGCCGGAGAAAAUGAUUAUUGUUUCCCAGGCAGCUGCAGACUUGAAACAGUUCUGUCUGCAGAAUGCUCAACAUGACCCUCUGCUGACUGGAGUAUCUUCAAGUACAAAUCCCUUCAGACCCCAGAAAGUCUGUUCCUUUUUGUAGUAAAAUGAAUCUUUCAAAGGUUUCCCAAACCACUCCUUAUGAUCCAGUGAAUAUUCAAGAGAGCUACAUUUGAAGCCUGUACAAAAGCUUAUCCCUGUAACACAUGUGCCAUAAUAUACAAACUUCUACUUUCGUCAGUCCUUAACAUCUACCUCUCUGAAUUUUCAUGAAUUUCUAUUUCACAAGGGUAAUUGUUUUAUAUACACUGGCAGCAGCAUACAAUAAAACUUAGUAUGAAA
rnacentral:lncRNA from 1 species